AGAAAGAGAGAUGUAUGGACAAGACACGACUCCAAAUUGGGGAAAAACAAAACUGACAUAACGUGAACAAGACACGACUCUGAUUAGAAAACAGACAGGAGAACUCACUGGGGAGUGAAGGACUCACACUGGGAAAAGAAAUCCAAAGGAAAAUAAAUCCAUUGGAGAGACACAAGCUGACUCCUGAGGAGAAGCAACAAAAAGUUCCACUGGGGAAGUAACAAAGCAAAA
rnacentral:lncRNA from 1 species